rnacentral:misc_RNA from 1 species
GCAGCUAAUGGAAUUCCUCGUGUAUAGAUGACGCGAUUAAACCCUAUUAUAAAUUUUCAAUGGUUCUCCUUUUCCUUUUCGAAAUCUGCCUCUUCUUUCAUUUCCUCUUAGAAUUUACUCUUGGUAGGAGAGUGGCAUCUGAUCUGGUUUUGGAAGCUAGCUCGUCUUGGUUCAUUGGGUAGUUGGAAUUUGUCGGUUUCGAUUGGUUUUUGUCGCACAGCUUAUACUAGAGGGUUCUAUUUCGUUACACAACUAAACCAACAGAAUGAAAGUGUACAGACAAAAGAUAAAGACAAUUGUUUGUUCAUAUUUCCUCUUCUCCUC